UGCAGAGUUAAUUCUUUGUACCAAAAACAAGUGGUCAGCAAUAAAAAUAGGAAACACCUUUCAGAAUGCCAUUACCAAUUUACCAUGACAAAUUUUUCAGUCUGUUUUUAUCAAAGGAAAAGGAUUUUGGAACCCCUGACAACAUUUUCCCAAUUUUCCAGAAUAACAAGUGAUUUGGAAACAAAUUUUUGGAGAAUGGUUGCUAAGAUCACAAGUAAGACUAAUUUUAGUGAACUA
rnacentral:misc_RNA from 1 species